AUUAAAGCUUCUUUUGAAGCUACAAACUGAGUCCGUAAUAGUAUAU
rfam:Operophtera brumata OBRT01_Sc22307, whole genome shotgun sequence.